UACGUAGGGUGCGAGCGUUGUCCGGAAUUAUUGGGCGUAAAGAGCUUGUAGGCGGUCUGUCGCGUCUGCUGUGAAAAUCCGGGGCUCAACCCCGGACUUGCAGUGGGUACGGGCAGACUAGAGUGUGGUAGGGGAGACUGGAAUUCCUGGUGUAGCGGUGAAAUGCGCAGAUAUCAGGAGGAACACCGAUGGCGAAGGCAGGUCUCUGGGCCACUACUGACGCUGAGAGACGAAAGCUAGGGGAGCGAAUGGG
rnacentral:rRNA from 1 species